rnacentral:piRNA from 1 species
GUACAACUAACAUUAACAGUACCUGCAUGC